AUGUCGUCUUCAGCGGCUAAAGCCCCUUCGGUCUCGUCUAAGGCGUCCAGAGCCUCCAGGUCGUCCAAGGCCGCUAAACCACCGUGCACUCUCACCACGGCCACGGUGUCGACACGUUCUGGUCGGGUCGGUCCUUCCUCGACGUCGAGCUCGGUAGCUUCCGUUUCCUCGGCUCGAUCCCAGCUCGGGGCUCCUCCAUCGACCUCCGCGAUGAAGAUCGCCUUUAAAAGGGCUCAUGAGGAAGCUCGUCGGACCCAAUCCGACUCAGCAAUGAUCCCUCCCACACCGGGUAAAUCCCUGAGGGUUCCAUCAAAACAACCGCUCGCUAAGAAGAGGGCAACCCAACGCUCUUCCUCUUCUGCCUCCUCCAAGAUGGAUGCCCCUUCUUCGGCAACUUCUUCUAGAAGGUCUUCUCCGAUCGCUCCCGCUCAGCGACCUCGCCAGCCUUCUCCUCACCAACUCUCGGACGGCGAGUUGCAGGACUCACCCCACCACUCCACUCAGACAGUGGUCAGGGUCCCAUCUCCUCGACCUGCUGCUUCUCAUCGUUCAUCUCGUCAGCAGCUUUUUCCCCCGACCUCGACACCGGAACGGGGUAGACAAACCACUCGCCUGGCUCGAGCGGUCCAGGCUUCGGCCUCCAAACAAACUCGGCCGCAGAUAGCUCCUGCUCUUGAGGCGGUGCCGCCACCAGAGACUGUGUUGUCAUCUCCUCCCCAGUCCCCUCAAGGGGCUGGGGACGAUGAGAUAGAAAUUGAUCGCCCGGAUUCUGCUCUCUCGGCCUCGGUGGUAUCCUUAGGCCUCGAUCUCUCUCCUCCCCAUGAUGCCUAUGAGGUGGAUCCUCCUUCGCCUACCGACAACAUUCGGGCUUUCUCCGAGCAAAUGAUUAGAAUGGCUGAUGCCCUGGGUUUAGAAAUUAAACAGACUUCCAAAGCAGUAACUGACCCGGUUUUCAAACGGGUCCAAGCCCAGGCCCCUCCAGCCACGCUGUUGCCGUUCUUACCCUAUCUCCUCGAUGUUAUCCAAUCUUCGUGGAAAACCCCCUCCUCGAUCCCUCCUACCUCGAAGAGAAUCGAGUCCUGGUAUCGUACGGAUGACGACACCUUAGAAUGGCUUAAACACCACCCCGACCCGAAUUCCAUGGUCGUGAAGGCCUCUCAGUCCUCCGGUCGUGAAUCCACUACCCCUGCAGACAGAGAGGGUAAAAGGUUCGACGCGGUCGGCAGAAAGCUCUACUCCGGAGCCCUUCUACUUUGUAGAAUGGCGAACUAUGGGGCCUGUAUGGGGGCAUACCAGCAGAUCCUCUGGGAAAAAGCUCAGCCCUUCUUCGCGAAGUUGUCCGACGAAGACCGGUCGGUCAUGUCCACCCUCCAACAAGAGGCCGAUUCCUUAGCGCAUCAUCAAAUCCAGAUGGCUAAGCAUACUGGCGACACGGCCGGCAAGAUGAUCGCCCACGCCAUUGCCAUUCGCCGCCACGCCUGGCUGAGAUCUUCCGGCUUAUCUUCUUCCUCGAGGCAGGUCAUCGAGGACCUCCCCUUCGACGCCAUGGGCCUCUUUAAUGCUGGCACCGAUGACAAGCUUAAAACCAACCAUGACUUAAAG
ensembl:lncRNA